ACGGGUUGUUAAGAUAAUUCUCUUGGGACAGACUGUUAACAUAUCCUAAAUUGAGUAGCUGUCCAGCGAGCAGGCAAGAUUUGGUCCUGUGAUGCCAAGAUUUGUGUGGUAGUACACUCUAAAAAUUAGGGGUUCAACUGGAGUCCUUCUAAGAUCCUCGAAGAACCUUAAGGUUCUUGGCAAUGAAAAACAGCCCCCAAAAGGUUAUUUGAAGAACUUCUUAGGAGGUGGGUUCAUCGAGGAACCCCCAUUGUUGCUGGAGUUCUUCGGGGGAACUUCGCAACUGAAAACAUUCACGCCAAGUUUGAAUGCGACAACAGUUUAAAAAGAACAGAACAUGGACACAAUGCAAUUGGGAUCAAGAAGAAGGUAAGGAUUUGUUGUAGGACAGCUGCAUUUGAAGUGUACAUUUAACCUCCAUGGCAGUCAAAACAAACGGAACUCUAUUAGCAUACACGUGUGCAAAUGAUCUUUUCAGAUAUUCUCAAAUGAAUCAAAUCCAUAGAAUGGAUAUAGACAAAACGAAAAUGUAAAGGACUCCGUAAGGCUAGUGGCAAAAUGCUAGCAGAGUUAGAGGUGAGGCAGGGGUGAGGACAUCAUCCUGCUAUUUCGGCAGUCCCUGAAGGACAAUACAGAAGAGGCACACAGGUAUUUGCUCUUGUUCCUUACCUUUCUCUGUAGUCAAUACAUGGUACAUUAAAAAUAUGUAUUUUGUAAUAAAAUUAGCAAAUGUAGUAAGAUCAUUGCUUUACUAGGACUCGAGACCACAGCUCUUGCCCUUCUUCAAUGAGGACCCGAGUGGCCUUUGUCUGUGACAAGGUUUCACCGCUCCCAACUCCUUUACUGAACAUCGGUGGAAAUUAAUUUCACCAUGUGAGUGAAAUCACGCUGGCCUUUGCUGGGGAGAAAAUCCACGCCCAUGGGACUUGGGGCCCUGCUAGGGCUGUAUUUAAAAAAAUAUAUAUAUAUAUAUUUUCACUAACAUUUCCCAAAAAUGUCAAAACACAUGUUCUUAAGUUACUGUGUUCUGGGGAUAAGAGAAGUUGGGGUGAAGUUACAAGGGCUGGUCUUAAAGAUGGCAAACAUAACUAAGUGGUUGAUGGACACACACACUAAAGCAAAAAAAAAUCAGUAUUUAGCAUCAAGUCUACAAUAUUGUUAGUUUACCUAUGAUUUGUUUUUAUUGUACGUACAUUUAUGAAAAAAAUAUUGUAAUGAAAAGCUCUAUACAAAGUAAAUGUAUUAUUAUGGUCUGACAUCUGCAGAAUUUUGUUGUGUUUUGUAAAUAUUAAUUCACAUUUGUGGUGCCACUAAAUAAAAAAUUAUUUAAAUCAA